rnacentral:rRNA from 1 species
UACGGAGGGUGCAAGCGUUAAUCGGAAUUACUGGGCGUAAAGCGCACGCAGGUGGCUGAGUCAGUCGAUUGUGAAAGCCCUGGGCUUAACCCGGGAAUUGCAGUCGAUACUACUCAGCUAGAGUAUGGGAGAGGGUAGUGGAAUUCCCGGUGUAGCGGUGAAAUGCGUAGAUAUCGGGAGGAACAUCAGUGGCGAAGGCGGCUACCUGGCCCAAUACUGACACUUCGGUGCGACAGCGUGGGGAGCAAACAGG